UAUCUGGUUGAAGUGUCCUU
rnacentral:piRNA from 1 species